rnacentral:snRNA from 1 species
UGACCAGUUGGUACGGGUACAUGGCCUCGAUCGAGACCUAGAGUACAGUUUUUGGAGGCCUUCCGCUCUUGGAAGGUUU